rnacentral:lncRNA from 1 species
CUUCCUCCAAAACAGGCAUGGCUCCAUAAGCAGUGCACAAAUCACACAAUAGAUCAAGGGUCCCAUAAUCUGUUGCCAAAGGAUCUUGUCGUUGAGGGGAAGAAGAUGAAGUAACAACGGCUGAAGAUGGUUGAGGAGGUGGAGGAACAGAAUUGGGAGGGAAAAAUAACAAGCAAGCAUCCUUGUAAUGCCCAUGUCGAAACAUGAAAUCAAGAAGAUGUUGACGAGCAUACUGCAUUUCAAAGUGUACUACAUCAGUGGUUAUACAGAUAUCAAGCAAGCCUCACUGCUCUACAUGGAAAAAAUGAAGAUUUCCGUUGAGGGGAAGAAGAUGAAGUAACAACGCCUGAAGAUGGUUGAGGAGGUGGAGGAACAGAAUUGGGAGGGAAAAACAACAAGCAAGCAUCCUUGUAAUGCCCAUGUCGAAACAUGAAAUCAAGAAGAUGUUGACGAGCAUACUGCAUUUCAAAGUGUAAUACAUCAGCGGUUAUAAGAUAUCAAGCAUGCCUCACUGCUAUACAUGGAAAAAAUGAACAUUCGCAAGAACAGUAAGCAGAAGAACAAUAUGGAAGGAUGAAGAAAAAAAUUGAGCAAGGUGCUGACAGAGGGAAGAGCCAUGCAUAGCAAGCAUCUAAACAUUUAGGUUGUGCUCUCAUCCAAGAGGAAGGAAACAACUCAUUCAAUUUCCAAAGACAAUACUCCUCCC